AUGCAAGUCGAGCGGAUGAGAGGAGCUUGCUCCUCGAUUUAGCGGCGGACGGGUGAGUAAUGCCUAGGAAUCUGCCCAGUAGUGGGGGACAACGUUUCGAAAGGAACGCUAAUACCGCAUACGUCCUACGGGAGAAAGUGGGGGAUCUUCGGACCUCACGCUAUUGGAUGAGCCUAGGUCGGAUUAGCUAGUUGGUAGGGUAACGGCCUACCAAGGCGACGAUCCGUAACUGGUCUGAGAGGAUGAUCAGUCACACUGGAACUGAGACACGGUCCAGACUCCUACGGGAGGCAGCAGUGGGGAAUAUUGGACAAUGGGCGAAAGCCUGAUCCAGCCAUGCCGCGUGUGUGAAGAAGGCCCUCGGGUCGUAAAGCACUUUAAGUUGGGAGGAAGGGCUUACAGCGAAUACCUGUGAGUUUUGACGUUACCAACAGAAUAAGCACCGGCUAACUUCGUGCCAGCAGCCGCGGUAAUACGAAGGGUGCAAGCGUUAAUCGGAAUUACUGGGCGUAAAGCGCGCGUAGGUGGCUUGAUAAGUUGGAUGUGAAAUCCCCGGGCUCAACCUGGGAACUGCAUCCAAAACUGUCUGGCUAGAGUGCGGUAGAGGGUAGUGGAAUUUCCAGUGUAGCGGUGAAAUGCGUAGAUAUUGGAAGGAAC
rnacentral:rRNA from 1 species